AAUUUCAUUUAGUUCUGCUGUAAUCUUUCUUUUCUUCUCCUGGCUUUAAGUUUGAUUUGUUGUUUCUAUAGUUUCUUGAGGUAUGACAUUAUGUUGCGAAUUUGUAAUCUUUCAGACUUUUUUACGUAGGUGUUCAGUGCUAGAAACUUUCCUUUUAGCAUUGCUUUUGCUAUGUCCCAGAGGUUUUGAUAACUUGUGUCACUAUAAUCAUCCAUUUAAAGAAUUUUUUAAUUUCUUUCUUCAUUUCAUUGUUAACCCAGUAAUCAUUAAGAAGCAGAUUGUUCAAUUUCCAGGAUCUUGAGAUGACGUCAUACUGGAUGAUCCUAGUGCACCCUAAAUCCAAUAAGUGUUCUUAUGAAAGACAGAAGAGGAGAAGAUACAGGAAAUAGAAGAAGGCUACUUGAGGAUGGAAGCAGAGAUUGGAGUUAUGCAGCUACAAACCAAAGAAUGCCUUGAGCCACCAGCAGCUGAAAGAGCUAGUCAGCAAUACAACUGGGAUUUGAUAUCAGAUUCAUACGAUUCCGAAGACCCUGACCACCAAAUGCAAAAGGUACAUGGCAACAGCUGAUUGCAAUGAGAGAAAAACAACUAAUAAGGCAACAAGCAGGAUACUAAGAUAUUUUCCAAAAUGAAUAGCACUGAUUCUGUGAGGAAUGAACAUUGCCAAACAAGUGUUUUGUUUUGUUUUUCAACUCCUCUAAAAAAAUUCACAUAUAUGCAUGCCACUUUCCUGAAAAAUAUCUGCCUCAUAAUUGCCAUAAGAAACGGUAUGGACAACUCUUAAACAUUCUGAAAGUAGUCAGGGAUGGGGGAAAGCAUUUGCUGUUUUAGUCUGUUCCUGGUCUUAUAACAAAUACCACAAACUGGGUAAUUUAUGAUUACAGAAAUGUAUUUCUGAAAGUUCAGGAGUUGGGAAGUUCAAGAUUAUGGCACCAACAUAUUCAUUGUCUGAUGAGGGCCUGUUUCACAGAUGUCAUUUUGCAUGACUUAAUCACAUGGUAGGAAAAGCAAAGGGACAAAAUGGACAAAUGCCAUGUUGUCACAUGGCAGAAGAAAUGGAAGAGCCAGGAAGCUCUCAGAAGCUUCCUUAAUUAGGAUAUUAAUCUCAUUCAUGAGUGCAUAGCCAUCAUGACUUAAUUGCCUCCAAAGGCCCCACUUCCUCAUCACUUUGAGGAUUAAACUUAAACAUGAAUUUGGAGGAAAUAUAUCCAAACUCUAGGACUAGUUUAAAUGUAGCUAAAAAGGUUUCUUCAUUCUGUAAUCGUUAAUAUGCUAAUAUUUUUGUAAAUAUCCAAGAGGAAGCUAAAGCAUAUAAUAUUCCAAAAUUUAUUUCUGUUUGUGGAUAUUAUGUUUUCCUCUCAUUCUAUCUUAAGAAAUUAGUGUCCUCAAGAAACACUAUAUAGGAUAAUUGUCUUUCAAGUUCAUCAACUACCAGUUCUUGAUUCUUCAGUAGCUAAUCCUAGAUAGUAAUACUUAACAGAUUAUAAAAACUUGGGUGCUGCUAUAUAAAUGCGCUGAAACUCCCAGGGAACCAAACAUAAGGACUUAAAGAGAGAUGUAACUAGGGAUCAUAAUCAUGAAUUUCAGCUGCUUCUCUAUCUUUGUCAGUGAGCAAAUGACCAUACAAAAUAAGGUAUUCAAUUAUUAAUUCUGUGCCCAUAUCCCGGAAUUUUGCCCAAUAUAUUUGUAAGUUUAGAUAAAUAAGGCACUAAUGCCAGGGAUAUGUAGCAUUAGUUCUGGGUUUAUAAAGGGAUAUUCACAACCUCUUGCCAUCCACAGAAUUUAUCAGCCCAAAGUAAACUAUACUCGUUGGUUAAGGGCAACCUGAGACAUGUUUAAAACUGAGGUGGACUGAAGAGUCAACUAAUUGCAGGAAUCUUUUAUUUGGUUGAAAUGUUCAAACAAGUCCCACUCUGAAUUCUAUUAGAAGUCCAUCAUUGGCUUCUCUCUCUUUCUCACUGUCUUAAAUCAUGUAUUUUAUAACACUAUGAAGAAUGAAGUUCAAAAGAAUAAGCUAAAUUUAAUUAAUUAAAUUAUUUAUUUAUUUAUUUUGAGACAGAGUCUCACUCUGUCACCCAGGCCAGAGUUCAG
rnacentral:lncRNA from 1 species